AUUGAACGCUGGCGGCAUGCUUUACACAUGCAAGUCGAACGGUAGACCCUUUCGGGGGUUGAGAGUGGCGAACGGGUGAGUAAUGCAUCGGAACGUGCCUAGUCGUGGGGGAUAACGUAGCGAAAGUUACGCUAAUACCGCAUACGCACUGAGGUGGAAAGCGGGGGACCGUAAGGCCUCGCGCGAUUGGAGCGGCCGAUGUCGGAUUAGCUAGUUGGUGAGGUAAAGGCUCACCAAGGCGACGAUCCGUAGCGGGUCUGAGAGGAUGAUCCGCCACACUGGGACUGAGACACGGCCCAGACUCCUACGGGAGGCAGCAGUGGGGAAUUUUGGACAAUGGGCGCAAGCCUGAUCCAGCCAUGCCGCGUGCGGGAAGAAGGCCUCGGUUGUAACG
rnacentral:rRNA from 1 species